GCGGUUUUUUCAAGUUCGGAUGUGAAAUUCCCCGGGCUCAACCUGGGAACUGCAUUCGAAACUGGCAGGCUAGAGUCUUGUAGAGGGGGGUAGAAUUCCAGGUGUAGCGGUGAAAUGCGUAGAGAUCUGGAGGAAUACCGGUGGCGAAGGCGGCCCCCUGGACAAAGACUGACGCUCAGGUGCGAAAGCGUGGGGAGCAAACAGGAUUAGAUACCCUGGUAGUCCACGCCGUAAACGAUGUCGAUUUGGAGGUUGUGCCCUUGAGGCGUGGCUUCCGGAGCUAACGCGUUAAAUCGACCGCCUGGGGAGUACGGCCGCAAGGUUAAAACUCAAAUGAAUUGACGGGGGCCCGCACAAGCGGUGGAGCAUGUGGUUUAAUUCGAUGCAACGCGAAGAACCUUACCUGGUCUUGACAUCCACAGAACUUUCCAGAGAUGGAUUGGUGCCUUCGGGAACUGUGAGACAGGUGCUGCAUGGCUGUCGUCAGCUCGUGUUGUGAAAUGUUGGGUUAAGUCCCGCAACGAGCGCAACCCUUAUCCUUUGUUGCCAGCGGUUAGGCCGGGAACUCAAAGGAGACUGCCAGUGAUAAACUGGAGGAAGGUGGGGAUGACGUCAAGUCAUCAUGGCCCUUACGACCAGGGCUACACACGUGCUACAAUGGCGCAUACAAAGAGAAGCGACCUCGCGAGAGCAAGCGGACCUCAUAAAGUGCGUCGUAGUCCGGAUUGGAGUCUGCAACUCGACUCCAUGAAGUCGGAAUCGCUAGUAAUCGUAGAUCAGAAUGCUACGGUGAAUACGUUCCCGGGCCUUGUACACACCGCCCGUCACACCAUGGGAGUGGGUUGCAAAAGAAGUAGGUAGCUUAACCUUCGGGAGGCGCUACCACUU
rnacentral:rRNA from 1 species